rnacentral:lncRNA from 1 species
UCCUAUCAUUACUGUCAAAGUUUCCAUACAUAUAACCAAAACAAAACAGCAACUACCACUCAGCAAAACAGAGAAAAAAAAAAGAGAUAUGCCUCAACAGAAAAACCAAUCUAUGGAAUCCUAACAACUUGGAAAAAUACUACUCUACCCUUUGUUCCAAUUCAGAUUCUCAACCAUUACUUUCUUUUGCCUUUCACGGUACAAUCAUAAUCAUCAAAAUACUUAGACUUGGUGUUUUGUCUUUUGGGCCUGCUCUUUGUUAUUGGGCUGCUCAUUGAUGUUUCAUCAUCAUGAUCUUUGCCUUCUCUUGGGCCAUAACAUUUGAUCAGCUAAAUUUUCAAGAGUGACCACAUUUUUCUGUCUUUAAUUUUUUAACCACUGUCUCCAGUCUUUUGAUUCUCUCUUCAAGAUCUUUUACAUUCAAUCCAGACACACAAUUAUUAUAGCUUUCCCCUUGAGUCGCAGAUAGGCUUACUCUCUCACUAGACAGCCUUGCUUCUUUGCUUCCAUUUGCAUCUUCAAUAUCUUCCUUCAAAAUCAAUGGUUCAACAGUAUCUUUUCCAACCAGUUUUGCCGGUGGUGAUAUCCUUUUAGCAUUUUCGUAAUCUGCAGUAGAGGCUGAAGAACUUUGGUCGGACAAAUUCUUACAUCUUGUUGGAAAUUCAGCAUCAAUAUUUUCAUUAUCUUUGAAAUCAUCUUGAGCAAAAUUUCCAGAAGGAACAGUUUUCAAGCAUUUAAGAAGAAAACCAGAAGCAUUAUCACCAGAUUUUCCAGAAUACAUAGUGGCACCAAGUUUGGGAUGAAAACCGGGAGGAACAUCAGCAUCAUUACCAUUUUUAUGAAGUGACCUUGGACUUCUCUUUGACUUCACAAUAUGCUUCACAAAAUCAUGUUGAUUCAGUAAUACUGAUUGCUUCCACCACUUUGCAUAACGUGUGGUAACAUCUCCCUCAAAAAGCCUAGCAGGAAAAUACAACUUAGUGUCAGAUAUGGGCCUGCAGUAAUUUUUCCAAGCAAACUCCUUACUCCCAUGAAAUCUAGGCACACAACCUGGAACAUCUUGAUCCAUUCCAAAUUGCAUAGCAACUCUAUGUGGCAUGUAUUUCUUUACAGUAGAAUCAAAUCCAACAAGCACAGAAACUCUCAAGCAUGUAACAAAAGAGACUAGUUCUUUAUCCAAAUCCUUCCCGUACCAAAAAUUCAUUUUCUGGAUAAAACACCUUGAACCUACCAGCAUAUUGAACAUAAGGGUGCCAUCGAAAAUGAUCCAUAGCCGAGUCUAGUGCCAAUCUCGCAUUGUCAAUUUUCAAGGGCUUAACCUUGUGCCACCUAUACAACCAAG